AUUGAACGCUGGCGGCAUGCCUAACACAUGCAAGUCGAACGUGAAAGAGGGGCUACUCUCGAGUAAAGUGGCGGACGGGUGAGUUAUACGUAGGAAACUGCCCUAGAGUGGGGGAUAACCUGCCGAAAGGCGGGAUAAUACCGCAUAAUGUCUACGGAAAAAAGGUGGCUAACAAUAAGCUUCGCAGUAUGAUGAGCCUCCGUCGGAUUAGCUAGUUGGUAGAGUAAUGGCCUUCCAUGGCAACAAUCCGUAGCUGGUCGGAGAGGACGAUCAGCCACACUGGAAAUGAGACACGGUCCAGACUCCUACGGGAGGCAGCAGUGGGGAAUAUUGGACAAUGGGGGCAACCCUGAUCCAGCAAUGCCGCGUGUGCGAUGAAGGCCUGCGGGUUGUAAAGCACUUUCGGUGGAGAAGAAAUGCUCAAAUAUAAUACAUUUGAGAGAUGACGUUACCCACAGAAGAAGCACCGGCAAACUCUGUGCCAGCAGCCGCGGUAA
rnacentral:rRNA from 1 species